GAACCUUAACCUCUGCCACAAGAUGUUCAACAUAAAGGUGAACGAUUCACUUCCUAGCUAAUUGGAAUUUACAACAUCUCUAGAGCACCUUAAUUUAUCAUCAAGAAAUUCUUUUAAAUCAACAUUCAGGUACUCAAUCCCCACCACAAUGAUACCAUAACACAACUUCUUUGGGAUAAUCCAAUUGCUUCAACAUCCCCGCACACACCCUAAAACAAAAUCUCAGCAACAACAAAAAAAGAAUAGAUAAAUCUAUUAUGUAUUACACACCCAAAGAACAGAGAGUACCACUAUCAAAAUGAAAAUAACAAAAAAAAAAAAAAGAAUAGAUUACCUUUGUUGACGACGACAACCAAAAAAGACAACAAUCUAGUGGUUGACAAUAUCCAUUGAUUUUCUCUCUGAAAGUGAAACGACACCUCGAUUUUCCUCUCUUUUUCGCUUCAUGUUACAAUGCUAAUGAUCCUUCUAAUGGGUUUCUUAUUUUGUAAUUGUUGGCCAAAAAAGAGGCAAGAUUCAAACUAGGUCGUUUUAAUAGACUCAUCACAUCACCAUUUCACUCAACAAGUAACGGACAAGUCACACAAUUAUGUUAAAUUUUUAAACAUACCUCAGGAAAAGGAUCAAAAUGUGCUCAUUAAAAAACAUAAAAUAUGAGGAUGAAACUUUUUUAAACUUAAUAUAUCAAAAUAAAACUUAAUGUACAAAAAUUGUAUUAAACCUAAAAUAAUAUAAAUAAACCAAAUUCAUGUGAGGACAGUAAAAAACCCAAUUAAACCUGAUUUGAAACACAAAUAACAACACACACAUCCUUAGGAAAAUCAAAUUAAAGACAACAAUAGGAAUAAUACAAUUGUAAAAUCCGAUUACAUGCACAUGCAUGCAUCAAAUAGUUGUGUGACAUACCAUUGUCAAGAGUGCAAGAAGCAUUAGUUACGUGUCCAAUGGCAUGUGUGAGUGCUGCAGAUAGUAUAGAGAAACUCCAUGAAUGGUGUGGUCCACCUACACUACGCUUUGUUGAGGCAUGCAAACCGUAUAGGGAUGUUUGCGCGUGCAACUCACGCUCUGCGUAAUGAAUAACACAUUCACUUAAUUGGAAGCUUCAACACAUGCAUCUCAGC
rnacentral:lncRNA from 1 species